GAUGAACGCUGGCGGCGUGCCUAAUACAUGCAAGUCGAACGAAACUUCUUUAUCACCGAGUGCUUGCACUCACCGAUAAAGAGUUGAGUGGCGAACGGGUGAGUAACACGUGGGCAACCUGCCCAAAAGAGGGGGAUAACACUUGGAAACAGGUGCUAAUACCGCAUAACCAUAGUUACCGCAUGGUAACUAUGUAAAAGGUGGCUAUACUACCGCUUUUGGAUGGGCCCGUGGCGCAUUAGCUAGUUGGUAGGGUAAAGGCUUACCAAGGCAAUGAUGCGUAGCCGAAUUGAGAGGGUGAUCGGCCACAUGGGGACUGAGACACGGCCCAAACUCCUACGGGAGGCAGCAGUAGGGAAUCUUCCACAAUGGGCGAAAGCCUGAUGGAGCAACGCCGCGUGGGUGAAGAAGGUCUUCGGAUCGUAAAACCCUGUUGUUAGAGAAGAAAGUGCGUGAGAGUAACUGUUCACGUUUCGACGGUAUCUAACCAGAAAGCCACGGCUAACUACGUG
rnacentral:rRNA from 1 species